GGGGGAAAGAUUUAUUGCUCUAUGAUGAGCCCGCGUUAGAUUAGGUAGUUGGUGGGGUAAUGGCCUACCAAGCCUACGAUCUAUAGCUGGUCUGAGAGGAUGAUCAGCCACACUGGGACUGAGACACGGCCCAGACUCCUACGGGAGGCAGCAGUGGGGAAUAUUGGACAAUGGGGGCAAGCCUGAUCCAGCCAUGCCGCGUGAGUGAAGAAGGCCUUAGGGUUGUAAAACUCUUUCAACUGUGAGGAUGAUGACAGUAGCAGUAGAAGAAGCACCGGCUAACUUCGUGCCAGCAGCCGCGGUAAUACGAAGGGUGCGAGCGUUGUUCGGAAUUACUGGGCGUAAAGGGCGUGUAGGCGGAUUGCAAAGAUAGAGGUGAAAGGCCUGGGCUCAACCUGGGAACUGCCUUUAUAACUUGCAGUCUAGAGAUCGAGAGAGGAUAGCGGAAUUCCUAGUGUAGAGGUGAAAUUCGUAGAUAUUAGGAAGAACACCAGUGGCGAAGGCGGCUAUCUGGCUCGAUACUGACGCUGA
rnacentral:rRNA from 1 species